rnacentral:rRNA from 1 species
CCCUUAGAUGUUCUGGGCCGCACGCGUGCUACACUGAGUGGAUCAGCGGGUCAGGUUGCGCGAAAGCGUUUCCUAAUCUUUAAAUCCGCUCGUGAUGGGGAUUGACGGUUGCAAUUUUCUGUCAUGAACGAGGAAUACCUUGUAAGCGCGGGUCAUCAUCCCGCGCUGAAUACGUCCCUGCCCUUUGUACACACCGCCCGUCGCUACUACCGAUUGAAUGGUUUAGUGAGAUCCUUGGAUCGGCCCUGUCGCGGCUGGCAACGGCCGCGUCGGCGCGUCGAGAAGACGAUCAAACUUGAUCAUUUAGAGGAAGUAAAAGUCGUAACA